AUACGGAGGAUCCAAGCGUUAUCCGGAUUUAUUGGGUUUAAAGGGAGCGUAGGCGGGAGCUUAAGUCAGCGGUUAAAUGGUGCGGCUCAACCGUGCCCUGCCGUUGAAACUGGGUUUCUUGAGAGUGCAAGAGGCGGAUGGAAUUCAUGGUGUAGCGGUGAAAUGCUUAGAUAUCAUGAAGAACUCCGAUUGCGAAGGCAGUCCGCUGGGGCACGUCUGACGCUGAUGCUCGAAGGUGCGGGAAUCAAACAGGAUUAGAUACCCUGGUAGUCCGCACGGUAAACGAUGAUUACCCGCUGUCGGCGGUAGACAGUCGGCGGCCAAGCGAAAGCGAUAAGUAAUCCACCUGGGGAGUACGCCGGCAACGGUGAAACUUAAAGGAAUUGACGGGG
rnacentral:rRNA from 1 species